GCCGGUCAUGGUGGCCGCAUGCCUGUAAUCCCAGCAGCUUGGGAGGCUGAGGCAGGAUGAUUGAGUUCAAUGUCAGCCUCAGCAAUUUAGCAAGGCUCUAAGCAACUCAAUGAGACCCUGGCUCUA
rnacentral:sRNA from 1 species